rnacentral:rRNA from 1 species
UGUUAAAUCUUAUUUAAUAAAAUUAUUAUUAGAAACGUAAAAAAAAUAGUAGCGUUAGCGAAAUUUAUUUAUUAUUAUAGUUUAUUAGUACUGUGAAGGAAUAAUGAAAUAUUUGAAAAUAAAACAUAUAAAAAGUACUAGUUAAUUUAGGUACCUUUUGUAUCAGUGAUUAUUAAAAUGUUUAUUUAUACAUCUUCUCGAAAAUAAAAGAUCUAUAAAUUUUAUUUAGUUUUUGUAUCAACAAAAUUUGUAAAAUUUUUAUAGGGGUGAAACAUUAACCGAUUUUAUUAAUAUCUAGUAACUUUUGAAAAAAAUUUAGUUUGAUGUAUUUAGGGUAACCUUUAUUUUGAAGUUUAUCUAAUUAUACAUAUAAUCUAUAGGGGAUGAGCUCUGUAGACUACUUACAAGGUACAACAUUUACAUUUUUAAACUAGGCCUAGAAUUAGCCAUUAGAAAGUGUUAUAAAAUAUAACUUUGUUCAUACGAUUUUAUUACCUUUAAUUUUCUAAAAAGUUAAUUUAAAAAUACAAUUAAAUAUGAAAAUAUGAUAAUAUUAGUAGAUGUGUUAAUAAAGGUUUUAUUUUAAAUAAUUCGUUUUCCAUUAACAUAAUAAUUAUAAUACAAGAAUUCGGCAAAAAAGAUUUCCGAAUGUUUAACAAAAACAUUUCCUUCUAGAAAAGAAGGUAAGGCCUGCUCACUGAAUAAUUAAAGAGCCGCAGUAUUUUGACUGUGCUAAGGUAGCAUAAUCAUUAGUCUUUUAAUUGGGGACUGGUAUGAAUGGCUAAACGAGAAAUCAGCUUUUUUUUAUUAUAUAAAUUUAAUUUAUUUUUUUAGUGAAAAAACUAAAAUUUUUCAAAAAGACGAGAAGACCCUAUAGAGUUUUAUGUGGUAAUAAAUUAAAUUAUACUAGAUUUCUACUAAUAGAAUUUUGAUUCACAAUUUGUUGGGGCGACAUUAAGAAAUGACAAACUCUUUUUUUUAAAUACUUUUAUAAAAGUAAUAUUUGAUCCUUUAAAAAAGAUCAUAAGAAAAAAUUACCUUAGGGAUAACAGCGUAAUCUUUUUUGAGAGUUCUAAUCGACAAAAAGGUUUGCGACCUCGAUGUUGGACUAAAAUUUAGGCAUGGUGCAGUAGCUUUGCUUUAGGGUCUGUUCGACCCGUAAUAUUUUACACGAUCUGAGUUCAGACCGGCGUAAGCCAGGUUGGUUUCUAUCUUUUGACUUUAUUAUAUUAAUUUAGUACGAAAGGAUUGAUUAGUAGUAAUUUUUAUACAGAGAAGAGGAUUUAUAAUUUCAGUUAU